rnacentral:rRNA from 1 species
CGCAAGAUUAAAACUCAAAGGAAUUGACGGGGACCCGCACAAGCGGUGGAUGAUGUGGAUUAAUUCGAUCCAACGCGAAAAACCUUACCUACCCUUGACAUGUAUGGAAUCCUGCUGAGAGGUGGGAGUGCCCGAAAGGGAGCCAUAACACAGGUGCUGCAUGGCUGUCGUCAGCUCGUGUCGUGAGAUGUUGGGUUAAGUCCCGCAACGAGCGCAACCCUUGUCCCUAGUUGCUACGCAAGAGCACUCUAGGGAGACUGCCGGUGACAAACCGGAGGAAGGUGGGGAUGACGUCAAGUCCUCAUGGCCCUUAUGGGUAGGGCUUCACACGUCAUACAAUGGUCGGAACAGAGGGUUGCCAAGCCGCGAGGUGGAGCCAAUCCCAGAAAACCGAUCGUAGUCCGGAUCGCACUCUGCAACUCGAGUGCGUGAAGCUGGAAUCGCUAGUAAUCGCGGAUCAGCAUGCCGCGGUGAAUACGUUCCC